GGUUGCGGGGACGUGGCGGGGCUGGUGGGUUCCGGCCUCCCCCGCUCCCCUUUCCACUUAGGGCUGUUGCAGCCUGCAACAAUGUUCCUCCACCACCCCUUUGCGUCGUUUAGGCGUCUGGUUGCAACUGUGGUUGCAAAAUUCCAGUUUUCUCGCUCCUGCAGCAGUUACUGGGGAGAACCUCAGGGCUCUCCUGGCGUGGUUUUGUCCGUAGACACUCUUCCGUCUCGUCCCUGAGGUCCCAAGGGGUCGAGCGGGCGCUGGAAGGGAGGGAAAGUGAGCUGAGGCCCGGGAUGGCUCCUCGCUCCUCGCAAGUCCGCCUUCCCUGAGGACUUCUCCUAGACCAGCCCUCCAGGGCUUUCUGUUUUUCUUUUCUUCUUUUUUAUUUAUUUUUAACUUCUGAAGUCUUCUCCCCUUCCUCUAGCCCUUUCUUGGCUAUUUGCUGUUUCUCACCAAUAACAGCCUUUGGAUUGUCUUCGUUUCCCUGAUAACAAAAGACUAAAUCUUUCUCUCUAAAUGCCCCAGUGCCUCCUCAGAGGGACCCUGUUUAGCACUGGCCGUGCUGGGGCGGUGAGGAGGAGACCCGCAAGUCCCCCCACCCUGCAGAAGGGCUCACCGGUGGGACCGCUCAUCAGAGCUGUUGAGCCCUCCUGUAGCCGGGCCUGGGCGUGUGGGCGGGGUUUCUAAUCCCAGACGGCCAAGAAGAGCUGGUUAGGGUGCUGCCUUCCACCUGAGUCCUCAGGGCCUUGCUCCCCUCAUCUCCUGCCCACUUCACGUCCCUCCUGACACCUCGCACCCCUCCUUCCCAGCACUUGUGACAAGUCCCAGUUUUCCCAUGUUUUCCAGGAGUCAUCCACCUCUGCCCUAGGAUGGAAGCUCUGAGAAGGCGAGGGCCACAUCUGCUUUGCUCACUGUCAGCAUGUAGCCUGGUACCUGACUCCCAGCAGGUACUCAGAUAUGCCUUUGCUGGGUGCUGGAGCUGAGGGAGUGUGGUUUCUCUGUGCUAACGUUGCCCCACCUGAGUUCAAAGGUGAGAAACCCAUCUUUCCCCCUGAGUGGUUCAGUUCACCAAAUGUUUGUGGGAGAAUUUAUGGUGUUUCUGGCUGUUUUGGGUGGAAGUACGGAUGGAAGGGAUAACACCCCAAGCUAAAUAAUAAGGCUGCCUCCUCCACCCCCUGUUUAAAGCACCUGCUCGGUGACUCAAGCUGAGCUGGAAAUGAAGUGUGGUCCUGUGAUGGGGGAGCGUGACAGUUUGGUCUCAAGACCCCUUGAUACUCUUAAAAAUUAUGGAGGGCCCCCAAGUAUUUUGUUUAUGUGUGUUAUGUCUUUCAGUAUGCAUCGUAUUAGAAUUAAAACUGAAAAAUUUGUAAAACACAAGAAUAUACAAGCACACAUUCCUGUAGUCAUCAGGGUGAUGAUAUCACAUAUCAUGUCCCUUCUGGAAAACUCCAUCAUAUACCUGUGAGACAAUGAGGGUCAGGAGAGCAAGUGACAUCUUAGUAUUGUGAAAAUAGUUUUGGCUCUGAGAAUCCCCUGAAAAGGCCUCAGGGACCGCACUUUGAGAACCGCUCCCUAGAACCAUGUCACCACUUUUAGGGAUCUGUAUUCUCCACUGCCACCCUCCUCUCUCCAGUUGCUGGGGCCACACCCUGGGAGCGAGGGCCCCAGUUCUAUGUGAGCGAUUGUUGGGUUGAGCUUUAUUACUGUUAUCCGUACUGAUUUAUCAGGCCCUUUUCAAAAGGAAGUUCGUGGGUGCCAGCGCACCUGUGUGGGCCCUGCAUUCCUGGAGGUAUUGUCACGUCCUCUCUCCCCUCCCCCGGGUGUGGCAUCCCUCUUUACUUGGACUUUCCUUUCUAGAAGGGAGGGCCAGACCAGAGCUUCCUGGAUCUCCUGAGCGGAAUUUGCUCUUCGGCCUGCGUCACAAGUGCGCCUGGGUUGUGUAAGGCAGGAAUGUGGAAAAUAGCUUGAAUUUGAUAAAGGUGUUGUGGAGGAGGGGAACCCUUUCAUCCCAAGAGCUGUUAUGGCCACAAGUUUGCUCGCGGGGCCUGAAUUUCAGCCUUUCUUGAGAAGCAUGAAGCCUGGAGAAAUGGCAUAGAGGAGUUUAUCUUCCUCUUUCUUUGGUUUGAAGACUGAACCCUAAUCUCAUUUCUCUCCAUCACCCCUCCCCACCCCCAAAUCCUCAAGUUAAAGCUGAUCAGGACCUACGUGUGGGAUGAAAAGCUAGUCCCGUGCCUGGGAGGAUUCAUACUCAGUGAGUUAGGGGGAUGAGUAAGGUCUCUUUAAGUCUGAAGAAAAUCUAUUUGUUUCUGGAAAGUGCCAAUGGGAAAUUUCAAAAUGGAGCAAGGUGUGCCGGGCAGCCUUCUGGAUUGGAGGGUUUUUGCCUGUGUUCAGAGGCAAAAACUUUGGGGUGAAGGUGUUUCCCACACAGUUGAAGAGCCUGAAGGCGGGCUUGACCCUGUGCCCCAGGCUGAAAGCUGCCCUCUCCUCGGUUUCAUUAGCCUGAGGUGCUGCCAAAAUUGCUCUCCUGAAAGAUAGCACCAGUCAUCACCAGAUUUUAAGGUUGGAAAGUGCGCUGUUGAACUCACUCCUCCUUUUGCCGAUCAAGAGGCUGGAAGGGGAAAGAACUUGGUCAAGGUCACAGACAGCGUUGCUCCUGGCUCUCAGGACUUCGGAUUCAGAUUGCAACUUAUACCAUCAGCUUUCCUGGUUCAUCCAUCUUCCAGAGGGCAGACUGUGGGACUCCUCAGUCUCCAUAAGCGCCUGAGUCAAUUCUAUAAUAAAUCUCCUCUUAUGUAUAUAUCUAUAGAUCUUAUUGGUUCCGUUUCUCUGGAGAACCCUGACUAAUGCAUCACUGUAAUUUUUGUCUCCUUCUGAUCUGGCUGAACGGAACCCCAUGAGACCUGGGCACUCCUGGCCUCCACACCUUCGCUGGUGCCAUUCCUUCUUCCUGGAGCAUCCCUUGGAUCUUUGCAUGCCCCAGACCAACCCUGCAAGUUCUGCUUCAACACCACCUCUUCCAAAACGUCUUCCCAGAAGCCCCCAGUCAGAAAUGACUUCUCCCAGCUCUUGUCUCAUCAAGCAUGAUUGUGCCUCUGUGACAGCAGUUCUCACAGACUUCUCUCAGCGUAGCUGUCUUCCAGCUUCCUGCGAAUGGCACCGCCUCCAUCAACUUGCUCAAGCCGGGAGCCAAGUGUUGUUCCAGAGCCCUCGCCCCUCACCGCCCUUCAAAGUCAUCCAUUUUUGCCCAUCUCCAGUCUGCUCUUCACAGAGAUCUUUCUAACAUACAAACCUGUAUUGCCACUACGAUGCUGAAAACCUUCUGUGGUUCCCAUUAGUCUGAGGCUGAAGAUGAAAACUUCUCAGCCACAAUGCCUUGACUGGUGUGGCUCCACCUGUCCCUUCAGCUUCAUGUUUUUGUUUUGUUUUGUUUGAGAUAUAAUUCAAAUGCCAUAGAAUUCACCCUUUUAAAGUGUACAAUUCAGUGUUUUUUUUUACUAUAUUAACAGAAUUGUACAACUAUCACCACUGUUUAAUUCCAGAAUAUGUUCAUCACCCCCAAAAGAAACCCCAUUCCCAUGAGCAGUCACUCUCCAUUACCCCACCCCCACCCCCACCCUCGCUCCUGGCAACUACGAAUCUACUUGCUGUCUCUAUGGAUUUGCCUGUUUUGGACAUUUCGUAUAAGUGGAAUCUUGCAAUAUGUGGUCUUUUUUGGCUGGCUUCCUUCACUUAGCAUACUGUUUUCAAGGUUCAUCCAUGUUGUAGCAUGUAUCAGUAUUUCAUUCCUUUUUAUGGCUGAAUAGUAUUCCACUGUGUGGAUAUACCAUCGUUUGUUUAUGCAUUCACCAGUUGAUGGACAUUUUGGUUGUUUCUCCUUUUUGGCUAUUAUGGAUAAUGCUUCUGUGAAUGUUUGUGUUCAAAUUCUUGUGUGAACAUAUAUUUUCAUUUCUCUUGGGUAUAUGCCUAGGAGUGGAAUUGCUGGUUCAGAUGAUGCUCUAGGUGUAAGUUUGAGGAGUUGCCAGACUGUUCUCUCCAGCAGCUGUCUCACUUCACAUGCCCUCCAGCAGCGUAGGAGGGUUCUUACCUCCCCACCUCCUCCUCUAGGCUCCUCUUGUACCUCACUGCUCCUGGCUCUCUGGGCUCUAACCCCAUCCCUCCUGUUAGUUCUGACAUCAGCCUGAUUCCCUGUC